rnacentral:rRNA from 1 species
AACGAACGCUGGCGGCAGGCCUAACACAUGCAAGUCGAACGCCCUAGCAAUAGGGAGUGGCAGACGGGUGAGUAACACGUGGGAACGUGCCUUUCGGUUCGGAAUAACCCAGGGAAACUUGGACUAAUACCGGAUACGUGCGAGAGCAGAAAGAUUUAUCGCCGAAAGAUCGGCCCGCGUCCGAUUAGCUAGUUGGUGAGGUAAUGGCUCACCAAGGCGACGAUCGGUAGCCGGUCUGAGAGGAUGAUCAGCCACACUGGGACUGAGACACGGCCCAGACUCCUACGGGAGGCAGCAGUGGGGAAUCUUGCGCAAUGGGCGAAAGCCUGACGCAGCGACGCCGCGUGAGGGAUGACGGCCU